GGGUCAUCUAACUCCAAAGGAAAUGCAAAUCUGGCACAGUUUGGGAGAGAGAUGGACAAAAUCAAGGGCAGAGUGGCCAAAGGAACCUUUAAUUCCACAGUACAUACCAAGAUUUAAUAAUGGAUGGAUACCUCCAAUAGACAUCUUCCAGGGAGCACCUUGGGAGCAAGAUAUGGGACACCCACCAGAGCCUAUUAAACCCCUUUUCCUAGAAGAGCCACCAAAGCCAAAGGAAAAUCUUGAACCCAGGA